UACGAAGGGGGCUAGCGUUGUUCGGAAUUACUGGGCGUAAAGCGUGCGCAGGCGGUUUUGUAAGCCAGAUGUGAAAUCCCCGGGCUUAACCUGGGAAUGGCAUUUGGGACUGCAAGGCUCGAGUGCGGCAGAGGAGACUGGAAUUCCAGGUGUAGCGGUGAAAUGCGUAGAUAUCUGGAGGAAUACCGGUGGCGAAGGCGGCAUCCUGGACCGAGAUUGACGCUGAACGGCGAAAGCUAGGGGAGCAAACAGG
rnacentral:rRNA from 1 species